ACACACACACACACACACACAGAAACAAAGAAAAGAAACAAGUGAGAACAAGGCAUAUAUCAUCAUCAUCGUAUUAUCCCAAUUGUAAUCCCAUCGUAGAUCCGUCGGUAUUUCAUUCAUCAUCAUCAUCAUU
rnacentral:ribozyme from 14 species